UUGCUUAAGAGCGUUUGUGCUUAAGGUA
rnacentral:sRNA from 1 species